GCGGGGGAAGCAAGUAAAAAUAGCCUGUCGCGCGUCGCUCUGCCUGCUCCGGACGCCUUUAACCCUCACGGAGGGGGAAGAGAGCCGCAGCCGCCACUGCACUCUGCAGAAUGUGGCCCGGGUCUGCACCAGACUCCAUGCACCAGUCCGGGUGACGGCGGACCAGGACCCACGAAAACUUUCACAUUUUAAUUUUAAUUUUUUUUUUAAGACAAGCAGAGAUGAGGUGGGGUAGGGGAACAGAGGGGAAGAACUACAGCUACUGAGCGGCAGGGACUGCUACGUGCUGGCGGCCCAACACUUUACUAGAGCGCGGCCUUGAGACUCCAAGCUAUUUUUAGAAACCUGUUCCUCGGGUGGGCGAUCAGAGGACGGAGGGGGAGGGGAAUAGAGAGACCGGCUCUGCUGUGAAGCUGAGCUCCUGGUGCUAUACUCGUUUUCAAAGGUCUGAUCUCCGGCUAGGGGUGGGGAAGAGGAUGGGCCAAGGAACGACAAGCGGGCUGGCUUUGCCCUAACUCAAGGAGAAAACAUUAGCUGCUGAAUGCCCUGUGUCUUUCAAGCUCCAGAGCAUGUUUGUUUCAAAAAUCGACAGUUGCCAGAAGCAUGCUGUCUCUAGGGCCCAGGAAAUGGGAAUUCUUAAGCUUUGCUGCCUACACUGUGGGGUGGGGAUGAGUUGUGACCUCUAGGAAACAAGGCCUGGAGGGUCUUCACGUUGUUUUUGCAUUUCUGAAAGGCCGGGACAGUUUCCGCGCCACACCCCCAUCCCCGCCCCACGCUGCAUAUGGGUUACCGUAUGUGAAAUGUACGGCAGCCCCACCAGACACCGGGCUAUUAAUAGAGCCCCGGAGUUUGCUCUGUGUCUUUUUCCUGCCACCGAAUAAGGGAUGAUCACACACACCCCACUCCGCCCCCACCUCGGCGCACGGUUCCUCCGCGAAGAUGAGAAGGACCCAAGGAUUCAUUUUUCUCAAUCGUCUAUGAUAAAAGUCCAAACUUCUUUGGAGACACAGAAGAGCCUCAAGGCACCAAAAUAAUCCAAAAUGCUAUCACAACAGAAUUAACUUUUUCUACUUGCUAAAACUGUACAUGUCUUCCUUCCUUUUCAAGUCAUUCAUAUUUACCUUUUUACAGCAAAUUCCUUCCAAGCACCCCCUGUCACCAUGAAUGCCAUUUCCUCCUAAGAACCCUUAUGCAGAAAUGACUAUGGGUCAUGCAUGUGUGAAGCUUUCUGGACUAAGAGACGUAAAGCUGAGUGCCUGGCCUGGUGGUACUUAUCUGGGAAGAUUUUGUCAAAUGACCAACUCUAGUACAGUCAGUGUUCUGAUAGGCUCAGAUACUUUUGAAGUCUCAUGAACUGGUUCUUACAGGUUAAAUACAGCUGUGAUCAGUGGCUAAUCAUCAAAUGUGGAGAUGAUCAGGGGAACCCUGAAAGCUGGAAGCUCUGCACCAAAAGCAUAAGUCUCCAUGCCAGGGAGGCUGGGGACACAUUCCAUUCUGGGAAGUAUUGCUGCCUCCAUUCUCCAAAUGCACUGUGAUUUCACUUGAUCAUAACACAGACUGCAUGCAAAACUGACCUCAGGCAGCCAGGAAACUCAGUGAGCCCGUACAGCCGAAUAAAACCAUGAAUGAAUACACUGCUUUUCUUCUACAGUCUACUUACCCAUCAUGAUCACUUUCUUCUAUCUUUAUUACAUUUUCAUUUAAGACUUUGCUGGGCUGAGGAGAGAUCAGUAAAGCGCUUGCCUUGCAAGUGUGAGCACAUGAGUACGAUCCUCAGAACCCAUGUUAAAAAAACAAAGCCAGGCAUGGCGUUAUGUGCUUGCAACCCCAGCAUAACAGAUGUGAAGACUCGAAGGUCAUUUGGACUCACUGGCCAGCCAUCCUAGUCUACCUGGCAAGCUGCAGAGAAGUGAGAGAUCUCAAAGUGACAGCUCCUGAGAAAGAACAUCUGAGCACCUGAUGCUGUCCUCUGGCCUUCACAGGCAUGCAUGCACUCUCUCUCUCUGUCACACACACACAUACACACACACACACACACACACACACACACACACACACACACAAAACCCUUCAUCUCUCAGUGUCACUGUUGACAUUUUCCUGUGUGAUCUUUGUGUUUUGCUCCUGCACAUCUAUAUAAUAUGCAAUUGUGUGUGUGUGUGCAUAUGUACAUAUUGUAUGCAUGGUGUGUGUGUACAUGUGUCUGUGUGCCUGUGUGCGUGCCUGUGUGUGUGCAUGUAUAUACAUGGGUGUAUGUGCAUGUUCUCAGUGCAUGCUGUUGCUAUGGCAAUUGAAUCAUUUGAAAAUUGUUUCCUUUAUUAAACAAGCCUCUUUCCAGGUUAUCACAUGUUUAGCCAAGUUAAUUUUUUUUUUUUUUUUGGUUUUUUGAGACAGGGUUUCUCUGUGUAGCUUUGCGCCUUUUCCUGGAUCUUGCUCUGUAGACCAGGCUGGCCUCGAACUCACAGAGAUCCGCCUGCCUCUGCCUCCCGAGUGCUGGGAUUAAAGGCGUGCGCCACCACUGCCCGGCUGCCAAGUUAAUUUUUAAAACUGUAAACAUCUUGGAUUAACCCUACUUUUUUAAAAAAGCAACCCUUUUUUAAGAGACUUUUAAGUUGUUCUCAGUUUCCUGUCUCUCUGAGAAACUAUAGUAAAUGUUCUUUUACACAUACCUUGAGAAUGGGAGCCUUUAUUUCCACGUGAUGGGUUCCCAAAAGUAGUAUUGUCUUAGUACAUAUUGUCAAAUGUUAACCAAAUUGGUAUCUAGAGGUAUACCCUGAAUCCUUGUAAGACAAAACCUCCACCUUCCUUCACUCAUCUGCCCUGAUGUUGUGUGCAAAAAUGUCCGUUGCAUCCAAAAUUGAGAUCAGGGUCUUGAGGCAGAUCUACAACAGCGAGGUCACAGUCCUGUCAGAAAGGUGUGCCCAUAGCAUGAGCCUUUCAGUGCUAAGAAAAUCUAGGAGAGUCACUGAGACCUGUGGCGCUUCUCAGUGGCCAUCUUUGCAGUGCCCAGAGUGCUCCCAAACGCUGGAUAACAGGAAUGAUUUCAAUGUCUCCAAGACCUUCUGUGAUCUGAAAAACAGUAAAACUCUUUUUAAUUGGCACCAAUCUUCUGUCUGGAAAGGUAUCCAGGACUAACCAGGCACCCUCCGGUCCCUUUUCUUCCAGGCUAUGCUGUGGCAGUGCCUAGAUCAAUAGCAGCUACCACUGUGUGUACCUAAUAGAAGCCUCACCACCGAGAAGCCACUUUCUACCUCGGGGAGAGCUGUGCUCCACCUAUGGAGCAAUGUUUCCUGUAUUCAGGGUUGCCCUAUCAGGUGUGACUCAUCUGUGACUUGUCACACAAGGAAAGCUCACAAUUUAAAAUCAUCCACUUGAGUCCAGGCUUCGAAAUAUGAAGCCUAGAGUAGAUGAUGGCAAGAGGAAGGAGGCAUCCACGGGAGCCUUGGAGAAAGUGUUGUGGCUUAGGCCAGUAAGUCAACUGCUCCAUCUGUGUGCCCAUGGAAAAAUGGCAGACUCUGGCUAGCAGAGGGGUGUGAGGCACACAAGCUCACAGGAUACGGCAUGUCUCAAAGUUCCUAGGUUGCGGUGUUUUAAGGCAGGGAGGGUUCCUUCCAUUUCUGCUUUGUCAUCUUGGAAAGGCUGUGACAAUCACAGCUCUGUCACACACCCCAGUAACCAUGAAGACUGACCAGACACAUCUGACUCAGUAGUACAAAUGAGGAAUGAAGAUCAGAGUACCUGCCCCCAACUGUAAGAGUGCCCAUGGGCUCCUGUGUCUGAAGGCUUGGUCGCCAGCUGGUGGCGCUGUUUGAGGAAGUUGUGGAACCUUAGGUGGCAGAACCUUGAUGAAGGAAAUGGGUCACUGACAGCAGCUCUUGAGGUCUAUCCACCAGCCCCACUUCCCAUCUGGUCUCGGUUCCAUGUUCUGCUAAAUGUAAGGAGUCUCAGCUACAGCUUCCCACUGCCAUAGAGCUGCUUACCACCACACCUUUCCCUCUACGAUGCACUUAAGCCAAAAAUAAAAUAAAAUAAAAUAAAAUCUCCCUUUU